rnacentral:rRNA from 1 species
AGGCUGCAACUCGCCUACAUGAAGUCGGAAUCGCUAGUAAUCGCGGAUCAGCAUGCCGCGGUGAAUACGUUCCCGGGCCUUGUACACACCGCCCGUCACACCAUGAGAGUUUGUAACACCCAAAGCCGGUAGGGUAACCUUUUGGAGCCAGCCGUCUAAGGUGGGACAGAUGAUUGGGGUGAAGUCGUAACAAGGUACC